UACGAAGGGGGCUAGCGUUGUUCGGAAUUACUGGGCGUAAAGCGCACGUAGGCGGGCUGAUUAGUUGGUGGUGAAAUCCCAGAGCUCAACUCUGGAACUGCCAUCAAUACUGUCAGCCUGGAGCAUAGUAGAGGUUAGUGGAAUUCCAAGUGUAGAGGUGAAAUUCGUAGAUAUUUGGAGGAACACCAGUGGCGAAGGCGACUGACUGGGCUAUUGCUGACGCUGAGGUGCGAAAGCGUGGGGAGCAAACAGG
rnacentral:rRNA from 1 species